GUGCUCCCUUCAGCAGCACUGACGCUAAAGCUGGAGUCCAGCAGAGAAGGUUUGAAGAGCCCCUGAGCAAGGACGGCAUGCAUGUUUGGGUAGCGUUCCACAUCAUC
rnacentral:snRNA from 1 species